rnacentral:lncRNA from 1 species
GAAGUUAUACUAUUUUCCAAAUUACAGCAUAGAAAUCUUGUAAAGCUUCUUGGCUGCUGCAUUCAGGGAGAGGAGAAAUUGUUGAUUUAUGAAUUCAUGCCCAACAAAAGCCUGAACUCUUUCAUUUUUGGUCUGGGUCCCUAUAACCUUAAAAUAAUCAGCUAGCUUGUGCCUUGAUUAUAGACGUUUCUUAUGUUAUUUCAGAAAAUUUUGUACUAACCUUAAUGCGGUAAUUUGUAGAUCAAGAAAGAUGUAAGAUAUUGGAUUGGUCCAAGCGUUUCCACAUUAUUUGUGGGACUGCUAGGGGUGUUAUGUACCUUCAUCAAGAUUCUAGAUUGAGGAUUAUACAUCGAGAUCUCAAAGCAAGUAAUGUGCUACUCGAUCAAGAUAUGAAUCCAAAAAUUUCAGAUUUUGGUUUGGCAAGAGCUUUUAGUGGAGACGAAACAGAAGGAAACACAAAAAGAGUGAUUGGAACAUAGUAAGUACUUCUUGUCAAGUGAUCUUUACGAUUCACUUGUACUGAUUAAUAAAAAUUAACUGAUUUAUUUUCAUAUUUUGAAGUGGCUAUAUGGCACCAGAAUACGCUAGUGAUGGGCAAUUCUCAGUAAAAUCCGAUGUCUUCAGCUUUGGAAUUUUAUUGCUGGAGAUAAUAAGUGGAAAGAAAAAUAGAGGAUUUUAUCAUUCCGACAACAAGCUUAACCUUAUAGGACAUGUAGGUAAAAUGCAUACGACAUUUUCUAACAUAAUUUGAACUAAAAAACUAUAGAUGAUAAAAGAGUUUUAAUAUGUUGUAGGCAUGGAAGUUGUGGAACGAAGGCAUGCCUUCACAAUUAAUCGAUCCGUGUAUUCAAGGCUCAUUCAAUCUUGCUGAAGUGAUACGAUGCAUCCACAUCGGUUUGUUAUGCGUGCAACAGCAUCCAAAGGACAGGCCAAGCAUGCCCUCAGUGAUUUUGAUGUUGGGCAGCGAGACUGUGUUGCCUCAGCCAAAGCAACCCGGUUACUUGGCGGACAGGAAAUCUACCAGACAAGAUUAUUCAUCAAGCACGCCUGAAUCAUGUUCAACUAAUACAAUUACGAUCUCUGAGUUGGAGGGUCGGUAGAGAAUCUAUUUGUGGUAUCAUGCCUUGUUCUACAUUGUCAAGUGCAAAAGCAGUAAUAUGUCAACCAAAUGGAAAGUUAAGAUAAAUGAUUGGACAAAAAAUGAUGAGGAUCAUCCAGUGAAUGCAUGUUGUGGAUCUAAAAGUUCAGAGGACAGGCCUAUUCGGCAGCUGACUACUUGGCCAAAAAUGCAGGCUCUAUACCUCUCGGAUUUCAUGUUUAUCAUGAACCUCCUGUAGGUCAUGAUCCUUGGCUUUGUUAUGAUAUGUAUGGGACAAUGAUUCCCCAUUCGGUUGUGUCUUAGCUUGGCUAAGCCUUUUUUUGGUAAAAAAAAAAAAAGAAUGUAGACUAAUGUUCAUAUAGAAAUUGUAAAUUAGAGGUACUGUGAGCAGUGUUGGGUCCAAAAAAAUGAUUAACCGAGAAUUAAAUUAAGUAAAAGCAAGACAUUAUUGAUUCCCUUCAUUCCUGUAAACCCGCCGAAUUGUUCUUUCCUAAAUUAACUCAAGCAUUAAUUUUCUUUUUAGAACAAGAAAGAUAAAAUUUGUGAUUGGUGGAGUGGUUAAUUAUUAUUUUUGAUAAAUUUGAAUCUAUUUUUGAAAUAGAAAAAUGUUUUGGGUUGUGGGUCAUUAUUAUUUUUAAAUAAAGCGUGAGUUUCAAAGUUCAAGUUAAAAUUUAAAUUUUGUAGAUUUAUGAAUGUAUAGAGGCUAUUUUAAUAGAUUGAUGAAGGUUAAUUAGAAGGAAAAAGCUAUUUCCCCUGAAUUUAAUCCGGAAUUGCGCCCCGAAUUAGAAAAACGACGUCGUUUUGAUUCAAUUGAAAACGCUGCAUCAGAAACCACACUCACGCAGUCUCUUAGGGUCCGUUUGGUAUUGUUUCUGAAUUUGAAUUUUCUAAGAAUAAAAAUGAAAAUGAAAAUAGUGUUUUGCAGUUGUUGUAUUUUGAAUUUAAAUAUGCGUUUGGUAUCAUUUUCUGUAUCCUAUAUUUCUAAACUGAAAACAGUAAUAUGCGUGUGGUAGAUAUAGUUGAAAAUGAUAAAACCAAAUAAUAUGCGUUCGGUAAUACCUUUUUCAAAAACAGUUUUUACUAAGCAUUUUAAGUUAUAAUUAUAGUUAGAAAAUAAUUGUGACAAUAUUACAUACACGAAUAUACCAUAAUAAUUUAAGCAAAAUUAUUAUAAAAAAUUAAAUAAUGAUAAAGUUUUAUAAUUACCAUUAAUUAAAAAAAAAGUUUUACAUUGUCAUUGUUUUUAUACUAUAAUUAAGAUGUAUAUUGCAACACAUGAUUUAAACAAAAUAAUUAUAAAAAAUUAUAUAGUACACAUUAUGCAUUAUGUGUAAUCGUGCCUCAUAGAAGCUGCAAUCUCAUCUCUUAUAGCAUUCAUCUCUGCGACAUUAGCUGGUAACCAAAUCUUGCUAUCCUCACCACCAACAUCAUGUGGAUCCAUAUCUUGUUACUAUAAAAUUAGAAAAAAUAACAUAUAUCAAAUAUUAAUGAAAUUAAAGAAACUACUUCUAAACAUACAUAGCUCAAACUUUUGAAAUUAAUCAAAUUCAACAUAGCAUGAAAGCCAUUUUACCAAUAUGUCAUAGAUUAAAAAUUCAACAGUCCAAAAUAAAAAAUAUUCCAAUACAACUUCACCAAUUCAAAUUAAUGGCAUAAACAAAAACAGAUAUAUGUAUUCUGCAUCCUUAACACAAAUACAAUGCUAUUCGGCAAUCAUCAUUUUCCCCAAAUAUAUUUAUCUGAAAUUACAAUUUCCAGCUUGCAUUUCGAUUCAAUGACAGAGAGAAAAUAUUAAAACUCAUAAUGACCAAGCACACAAAGCAACAACAUAGCAACAAUUAAAGCAGCAAGACAAAUCCCCCAAUUCCAGUUCAUCGCUGCCUUUUUUUUCAUUCUGCAAACAAAAUCAAAGUGUACCAAAAAUAUUUUUACACGGUUUUGCUUUCAAAUCAACACAAUUACUCAUAAUCUAAAAUAAUUACUCAAAAUUAUUAAAACUCAUAAUAACAAAGCACACGAAGCAACAACAUAACAACAAUUAAAUCCCCCAAUUCCAGUUCAUCGCUUCCUUUUUUUUCCAUUCCGCAAACAAAAUCAAAGUGUAGCAAAACUAUAUUCACACGGUUUUGUUUUCAAAUCAACACAAUUACUCAUAAUCUAAAACAAUUACUCAAAAUUAUUUUGGCUUGAAUAGAGGGAAUACACAAUUAACAUGCUUUAAAAAAAUCUCGCAAAAUUAUUCAAACAAUUACUGAAAUAAAAAAAAUUACCAGCAAGCUGAGAGAGAUGCAGCAGUUCAGUCGAUCAAGUAGGAGCGGCGGUGGCUACACGGAGAUGGACAGCAGUGGCUAUGCUCAAACGGAGCAGCAACGGCCACGACGGAGAGAGAACGGCACACCAAAGGACAACCGCGGUAGAGACGAAGUUGCAGCGGCGGCAGAGAAAGUGUUGUUGGAGGGAGAAAAGGAGAGAGAGAGCGGGUAGAGAGAAGACUGCUACCGAAGAAAAGGAUGAGGAGAUAAGGAGAGAGAAAAUGUUGUUGGAGUAAGAAAAGGAGAAAGCACUGCUGCCGUGACUAGAUCGAUAACGAUGGCAGGGAGGGGGGGUGACCAGAUCGAGAACAAUGAGAGGGGGGAGAGGGUUGCUGCCGAAGAGAAUGAGUUUUGUUUCUUAAUCUAUUUUUGAGUUUAGUUUGUAAUAUUUAGGAAACAUGUUAAACACAUUUUCAUGUUUGUAGUUAUAACACUGGAUCUGAAUUUGUUAUUUUGUGAUUUGUUUUUUGAAUCCAUCUCACCAAACAUAUAUUAUGUUUGUAUUAUGAAAACAAAAAUGAAAACAAUGGGUAAAAAACGCUACCAAGUUACUUUCCUUUUGACAAACCAAAGACUCCAACACAAAUAGCAAUCACACCCACAAAUAGCAAUCACCCAACGGCCACGCGAACAGCCGGUACAGACGACAGACCACCGCCAUCACGUGAUCGAGGGAGUAGAACUCACGCGGUGGUGCGUCCAAACUCCAACGAAAUCGACGACGACGGAGGUAGUUAGAGCCACAGUUCUUUCGAGCUAAAUCGCUGGUGUUCCUAUUGGUUUUCAGCGACGAGGAUGGCAAGGAAACGAUGGCCAACUUCCAAUCUUCAGAUCAAUACCUUGAUCGGCCGGUAGAGUGGUCGGGAUCGUGAAAUCCAACCGGGUCACGUUUGCAGGUCAAGUCGGGUUUGCGGGUCAACUUCUCUCCCUCCUCAUCCACUCACAAAGCGCCACACGGCUCCCCUUGGCCAGGUUGUUGCUGCUGGAAUUUGUUUUGCUGGAACCAUUACUGGUGCUAGAAUUGAUGCUCGAGUUGUUGCUGCUAGAAUUGUUUUUGCUGGAAGUGUUACUGGAAUUUUUUUUGCUAGAAGUGUUACUGGUACUGGAGUUGGUGCUCGAAUUGUUGCUGCAAUUUUUUUUCUUUUUUUUGUGUUUGUGUGUAUGAACUAGAGGUGGCAAAAAUAUAUGCCCGGUCUAGACCCAGAUCAUACCCGAGCGUUGUUAUUCGGCCCGGGUAUAAAGUUGGGUUGAUCUUAGGUAUCACUUGAUAAACCCGGAACCUGGAUUUUAUUAAAAAAAUUAUAAAAAUAUAUUAUUUUAAAUAUUUAUAUUUAUUUGACUCAUUUAUUAUACAUAUAUAAAGUUUUAAAUACUUAAAAUUUAUAUUUUCAUGUUAAAUUUUAUUGAAAUAAAUUUAAAACUUAUAAAAUUAUCAAAAAAUAAAAAAUAUAUACACAUACUGCUGUACCGUACAUCCGCCUUGGCCGUACAGCAGUAAGAUAUGCAUUCACAAAUCAGAAGCAACCCGGACCCGGCCCAGGGUUUUGCCAUCCCUAGUGUGAACUCCUGAUUGUUUUUUAUUAUCUUGGGCACUUGUUGCUGCUGAUAUGUGUGUGUGAAAUUGCUUCAAUGAAUUGAAUACAACAAGUGCCCAAGUCUUGUUGGAAUCAACAAGUCUUGCUGCUGGAAUUGUUGCUACCGUUAGUGUUGCUGCAAUGAAUUGAAGAAGCAACGUCGUUCGGUUUAAGUGACCGUUUUAAAACUCACACACAUGUGCUGCACAGUUGCAAUUAAAAAGGAAAAGUGACCGUUUUAAAACACAGCGUUUUGGCAAAUUCAGAGUUAAGUUCGGGGCAUAUAGCAGCGCUCUAAUUAUAAACCCAAAUGAUUUUUUCUUUUAUUUUUUUUGUCUUUCACAUGCUAAAUCCACCACCCUUACCGAUAAAAAUUGGGAUGAUUUAUUUUUAUCCUAAUGAUCAUAAUAAAAAUUUUAAAAAAUUUUUACUAUUUUAUCAAAAUUAUUAUUUAAAAAUCAUAUUUACCCCAAUUUUUUUUUUAACUACAAUGUUUGAGGGUGUAUUAUGAAGUGACCAGCUAUACCCUAAACGAGAAGUCGACCUUCUUAUAAGUGAGCAGACAUGUGAGGUCUGGUAUCAGGUAGCCAAAAGCAGGCAUUUUCUGCUCGAUUACAAGGACACCCUCUGCUAGACCUUAGCACGAGCAGGAUUCCUGCUAGAAACCGAGAGCCUUCCUGCUGGAGACCGGGGUCGACAGACCCAGUCCAUAACAGUUAACGGGUGUGCACUUCUAUUCGAAAAUCUAAGCACGAAAUCCACUCGGCCGCAACUACAAUAUUCAAGCAUCCACUUCCGAGAGCUGGGGAGGUGGUGAACGUGGGUCAUGGGGGGCUAAAUUUAUAGGAAGACUAUAAAAGAGGUAAUCAACGAAGGUAAAAAGGUUAAACACUUUUACAUAAAAAUUAAGAAAAAAAAAGCAUUCUAGGAAAAACCUGUGAAAAGCUCAUAGGUAUUUUAUUGCCUAGGGAGCCACGAGAUCAGUGGCAGAAUUUCUUAAAAAGUCAACCCGAAUUUCUAAUUUGAGCGUUGAAGGGUUUACACGAAGAAAACUUCCAGCGUGCUCUGACUAAUUUGUGUGCACAGGAGUUCGUCGAGAAGAAGUUGCAAGAGGCAUACCUCUAUUCGCCUAGAAGAGUAACAUGAAGUAUACUCGGUAGGCUGCAAGUUUAAGAGUUAAAAAGAGAUCCUGAUCGUAAAUGAGCAGAAACUAAAAUCUCGCAUCAAUAUAUAUAUAUAUAUAUAUUUUUUCACCACGACUAUAACUUUUAAUAUAACUUAGGUUAUCAAAAUUUUGAGCUUCAUUCAACCAACCAUAAAUCAUGAUUAAAGUCUACGUUGCGUAAGUCAAGAAAGACUUUAAUGGGAGAGAGAUCAUCUUUAUUAUCGACACUACAAAUGGACCCCAAUUAUAUCUAAAGUCUUUGGGCUCGUGUCCCGUUGUCUUCUUCUUUUUCAAAACCCUAUUUACUAACCAUUAAUUCGGUUGGUUGAUAAAUCCGGCGGUUUCUGAUUUUCUUAUUUAUUUUUAUGCGAGUGACCCCGUAACGAUAGCAUCGCAAUCUCAUGAAAAAAAAUUUUCCAAACGCAUGAAAAUUGGACACCCAUCAACAAAAAUCUUUUUGUUACAGUAUUUACUGUACUUUCAAAAUUUUAAACAUGACAAAAAUUAAGUAAUCUACUUAUCAUAAUAAUCUAUGACCAAAAAUAUUGAACAUGUAAUUUUUUUUUUUUUUGUAAUUAUACACGCACAUCACUCUUUUACGAUUAAUUGACUAAACAAGUAUGAUAAACGAUUUUAUAAUGGAUUGUCUCAUAAUCUAAAUUUAUCAAAUAUUUUAAUGGUGAGACUAUUCGAAUUGAAUCCAUAAAAUUCUUUUAAAAUUUUCUUUACAACUUAUAACAUACUUUUUAGAAAGUCUAUCGAGUACUUAUUUAAAAAUUUUAUUUCAAUAGAUAUCAAGAAAAAUUAUUUGGUUAAGAGAAAUGAGCCCCUUUUGAGUUGGUGAAGCAUGAGCUCAUCACUAGGCAAUCCAUCAAAUUAUUCAAUAAACACAUUUACCCCACACAUCUAUAAUUAAUUAGAGGGAUGGAAUCAUUUGAACUUAUUAAAUUUCUCUUAACAUCCAUUUAUUUAACAUAUCCCCUAUCAAAAUCUUAAAAUUAAAUUUUAAUAAACCUCUUAAUACCCCACAAAUAACCGUUUUAUGGUUGGUGCAAUAAUUUAGAUAAUUAAAUUAUUUAUUGUUUUUGGUAAUUUUUAUUUAAGAUUAUUUUUGUAAUAUAAUUUUUUAUUUAAAAAUAGGUCUAAGGUGCAUUUUUAUGGGGCCCAAACGACCUUAAAAUUAGAAAAAUUAAAUUUUACCAUAUAAAAGCAAAACCUCUAGUACUUCCUAAAGUAUCCUUCAUUAGAUUUCUUUUUUUAAUUCUAUUAUUUUCUCUCUCCUAAAGAAGUUGCUGUAUCCUUUCUGGUAAGAUGCUCUGUUCAGGCUUCAAUGUUGUUGGAUUGAAUUGGCAACUGAACUCGAAUCAAUUCUCAUGCAAGGGUUGGGGAAUUUGCUCAACUUAUAAUUGGUAGGUUUAUGCCUUUGGGAUCAAACUCAUUUCGCCUCUCCAAGAAUCUGCAAAAUUAAUUUGUAUUAUCAUGUCGGCGCUGCUUAUAAUUAGUAGUGCUUGCAUUGCCCUGAAUUCAGGCAUUGCUUGAGUAGAGUUGGGCUUGCUGAUUCAUUUUAGUGACAAAUGAAAACAUUAAAAAAAAAAAAUCAGGACUUGUUCGUCCAAAUUUACAGAUAUUUUGUUCUUUAAUUAAUUUUAUUAUAACAAACAAUAGGAUAGCAGUGUUGUUUAACCAGUUGCUUACACCUUGGCAAUAUAGCUUUGUGUUUUUUUUUUCUUUUUUCUUAUUCAUAGAGAUGUCAAAUUCUCUAUCUUCACCAUAAUUCUAGAUUGAGGAUUAUACAUAGAGAUCUCAAAGUAAGUAAUGUGUUACUUGAUAAUGAGAUGAACCCAAAAAUUUUAGAUUUGUGUGAGAUGGCACUGUUCACAUUAUUUUUUUAAUUUCUUUAAUUAAAAUAACAAAACUAAAUAAAAAUGUAUAAUAUUUAAUAAAAUUAAAAAUUCAAGUAUGUUGCCGCUAGUGCUGAUGAACUACUAGCGAAAGUUCGACGGCGGCUAGCCACAGGUGGCUACUGCAUGACAUCAUGUUUUACCCUAAAAUUUGGUAUCAUUAAAAUUCUCAUUGUCGGGGCUUCACAGUAAUGCCAAAACCUUGAAUGUAGAUCGAUGGUGAAUGAAAAUUCCUUUGCCAAUGAUAGUUGACCAUUGCAUAGCCCUAAUAAUAAUGAUUCUAAUGGUAUCAAAAUAUAGUUCAAAUGGUACUAAAGUGGGAUGGUCAAGGUGAAAAUUUUUUAUUUUGAUUAUAAAAUUUUAAAUUAUUAAUUGAAUAUAAAUAAUAAUAGAAUAUAAAUGAAACUUUGAUUAUAAUUUAAUAUAAAUAUUAAAAUAGAAAUUAUUAUUUUAAAUAAUACAAUGCAAGCUACAUCAAACACCAUAUUGUAUUACAGCUUAAUACAAUAUAAUAUAAUACAAUAUAGUAUGUCAAACGCACCCAUAAAAAAAAAUUCAAAAUCACAAGAUUUAUUUGGUGGGCUUUACCUGCAUUAUCCUCAGUUUACUUUUUGAGUCAAAUAAACAAUAGGCCCCAGAGACUUUUUAGUUCAUCAUGCUAUUGCUUUAGAUGUACAUACAACUAUAUUGAUCUUGGUAAAGUGGACAGUUUACUUUUUGCGUCAAAUACUAUGUUGGGAUUAAUUUUUUAUAAAAUUAGUCUAUUCCACUGUCUUUAACUGCAUCCAAACAUACCCCAAUGGUUAACUAUGAGAAAAUUUAAUAAGACUAGCAAUUUGUUUACUUGGAAUUGGAAUGGACAAAAAUUGCAAUGAGUUGAAAUCAGAACAGGCUGGAAUUGAUCACAUGAGAAAUAAGAAUCAAAGUAAAUUAUAUACUUGAAUCGAAAUCAACAAAAUUCCAAUUGAUGUAUUUACUUUUGUCUUGUAAUCCAAAUAAGUUGUCACAAGUCAUAAAAAUGUCCUUAGUUCCACUCUUGCCAGAUGUCAUGAUGAUAUACGUUUCAUCCAUCUGGUAAGCGAAGGAGUUAUUGCAAGUUAAAAAAAUGUCCUUAGUUACAAUUAUGUAUUUUUCUAUGUAAAAUAAAUAAGCAAACAUUUUUAAAGAAACCAUUGGCAUAUUUAUUAUAAUAUUGAGUGUAAUACAAUGAGUUUUUGAGUAAACUAGUAGUUGUUGUUGUUAUUUUAAAUCGAUAAUAACUACUAUUAAUAUUAUUAUUGUAGGGAAAUUAAAGCCCUAACUUCUUAUUAAUUUAAUUCCUUCUUAUUACCAGAAGGGGAACCAAAGUUCAAAUACCAAGUUUUUGUUGCUGGCAGGACUCGAACCUACGCCCCUCAACUUUCUAGGUAUAGGUUCUCCCAUUAGAUUACAAGGUCGGCUUGUGUUAUUGUUACUACUAAUACUAUUAUUAUUAUAAUUGUUUAUUUUCUUAUUAGUAUAAUUAAUCUUAUUAAGAUUAUUUAAUUAUGUAAUAGGAAUAAAAUCAAAAUUUCAGAAAUUAAGGGAUAGUAAAAUAAUUAAUUUAGAAAAUAAAAAUCGCAAUCCCACCUUCUCAUAGAAAUAAGAUUCUCAUUCCCACCUUUAAAAUUUGGUGGGCCUCACAAAUUUCAUUCACAUUCUCAAAUAUCAAAUAAGCAAGUAAAUAAUGGAAUCAUUUCCGGUCUUCCAUUCUUGACUCCCAUUCCAAGAAGUUAAUAACCUUUAAUAGAACGUUCAAAUGAAAAGACUAGCCAGGCCUUGAGAAUUGACAUCCAUCAAUUAUCUCUUCCGUGUUAGAAAUAUAUGUUAUUUGUUUUGUCUUUUUUUUUUAAUUCAUAUAUUGUUGAAAAGUCAAAAUUGACGAUUUGUUUAUUCAAAUUGAUUGAAAAAUAAGAGGUGAGCCACAUGCAUAAUUGACUUUUGGAAGAGGUAGGAAUCGCAUGCAUGAUUUCUUUCAAAAAUGAAGAAUUUUUGUAACUUUAUGAAGACUUUUUUUAUGCAAUUGAAGAGUUUUUCAAAAGGUAGAAAUGGUGGCCCAAAUCAUUGAAAUAAUUGCAUGUAAAUUAGAUGUUAGGUGUUGGUGCCUAUAAAUAGAGAGCAUUUCUUCAUUUCAUUUCAUCCCAAAAAUUUGAGAGCUUAAGAGAAAUUGCAAGUGAAACAAUUAUAAAGUUCUGAGAGUGUGAGCAAUUGGAGAGUGUGUGUGAGAGUAUUUGGUGUAUUUAGGUUUUGGGAAAGUGAGGUUUUUCUACUUAAAUUUGUACUCUAAUAAUUGUUGGUAAUACAAUUAUUUUUCUUUUGCUCCCGUAGACGUAGGCAUAUUGCCGAACCACGUAAAAUUCUGUGUCUUUUAUUUUUCUGUGAUUAUUUGGUGCGCUUGAUUCUGUAUUCCGUGCACAACAUAUAUGAUCACUCUUGAAUCUCAAAAAGCAAAAAAAAAAAUCCCAUUAAAAAAGAUCCAUUGCAACUUGUAGACAAAUACAAAACAGAAAAAUUAGUAUUCCUAGUCCACUGCCCCGUUAAGAGACUAUCAUUUUUCUUACCUAUGAUCGAAGCUUCAUUUGGAGGAUAUGCUGUACAGAGUAGUUUUCCAAUCCAGUAUCUUGGAUUGGAGUUAUAAUCCGGGGGACAAUUUGUAGCCGUCGGAUCAAAUCCAAUGGCAACUUAUAUUUUUAUUUCAAAUAUUGAUUCCGACAGUAGGGCCCACAUGCAGACUUUUACAAUUUUUAAGGGUUCAGUUAUGUUGCAAGAGUUGUCAGGACCUCAAUUUUUAUCUUUUGUGAUUUAACUAAUGUAAAUUUAACAGAACGCCUUAUACUCUAUUUUAUUCAUAAAAUAUUAACAAAUAUUAUGAUACCUUUUACUUACAUACACUAUUAAAAUUCUAUUUAACACCUUACACUCUUUUUAUUUAUUAUUUUCAUAAAUAUUAAAGUAUUUAUUUGUUUACAUCCAACACUAAUAUUAACAAAAAGACAACAAUACCCUUAAAUUUAUAAACUAAAAAUAAAAUUUUAGAUUUGGAGCCAGCAAGUUUAAGGGACUCCAAAUCCAAGAUUGUGACUCUCUGUUGGUGCCUUUGACUACAAGUAACGCCAUGCCAUUGGCAGAAGUGGAUGGAUUCAUUCGACGAGCCUAAAGCACCAAGAGGAUCAUGGGUGAUCUUGGACUUGAAUUCAAGCAAGGCUAAUCGAUCUGUCCCGUUGCCAACAACUUCAGAAGCCCUCACACCAAGGAUUUCAGGAAUUAGAAUGGCGUGGAAGCUGAAGCAGAAUACAAGGACAGCAUACGCAACUAAAAAAGAGCAAGGGCAAGGCACUCUUAUGCUCAUGUUGAACGGAAAAUUUUUAUCUCGGAGUUGCAGGUAAAUGGUGGAAUGGAUUUGUCAAAAUUUAAGGUUCAACAAUCAAGAAUAUAGACAAAUGUAUUCACUCAGCAAGGCUCUAUCUGUAAUUAUUAUUAUGAUAAUAAUGUAACAUUCAUAAUUUUGUCAAACAGCUUUCGGAGGGUUUAAUAUUCAUUUAAGUUCGUAAAAAUCUAAAGUUCAUAAUUUUGUCAAACAGCUCUAUUUGUAAUACACUUGACUUGUUCUGGGAAAUUUCCCAGCCAAAGAACUUGCUUGUAAAAAUCUAAAGCAGCCUUAGCUAAAUAGUGAGCAAUAAAAUUACAGCUCCUAGAGACAUAUGUAAUUGAGGCCGAUGUCUGGACUUUCAUUUUUUCUUGAAUCUCUGCAAUUCUCCACGAAAUUUCAGCCUUGCUGCUCUUCUUACUUAAAUCUAGUUCCACCACUUCCUUUGAGUCUGAUUCAAGGAUCAAAGGGAAGCAAUCUGCUUGUUGAGCACUUUGAAAACCGAGCAGCAUAGCUUCAGCUUCCAUACAAGCUACAUUUUCUUGAUAUGGGAUUCCCUGGACUGCUGCAGCAACAACUUUGCCUCUGCAAUUUCUAAUAACUGCUCCCAGCCCUGCUUUUUGUUUUGAGACAUUGAUUGCCGCAUCAACAUUAACUUUGAACCACCCAUUUGGAGGAGUAGUCCAUUCCAACUUUCUGUUCUUGCUGUGCUCUGGAAUGGCUUGGGCAUUUGGGAUUUAAUUCGUCAGUACGACUCCACUAUAGCUCCUGCUCUGGCAAAAGAUUGCUUCGGAUCUUCAUCCUUCCCUUAAAAAAAAAAACGAUUUCUGGAAUACCAGAUAGCCCAGCACACAGCAACAAAAAACUCCAGAUCCUUCUUUCUUCUCUUCAAAGCUACAUCUUGAAUCACACUUAACAUGUCCUGACGAGCCAACUGUUUAACUUCCUCAUCAAGAUCUGUAAAUUUCCAAAUCCUCCUCGCUGCUUUGCACUCCACUAAAGCAUGGAAAACAUCCUCACCUCUGCACUUGCACCUUUGACAAAAGGGAUCCGACACUACUUUCCUCCUCCAUAGAUUAUGCAUUGUUGGUAACAAUUCUUUCCGUCCUUGACGACCAAGAUCAGUCGGUAAUUGGUGCCGGAAACCAUCUUAGUCUCACCCUUCUCCACGCUCUUGAACUUGAACUCGUUCUUUGACUGUUUUUUUUGUACUCAUCACUGCAAACAGCCCGAUCUCUGUCACGUGCGGCUUGCUGAGGUCUUCUUUCGACUUCCAUCCCCCAACUAAGACUCCUUUACGAUCGCCGGCGGCCAGGAGAGGGGUUGUUGCCAUGGCUUUUCACGACCACAAAAUACGUAAUCCCUGCACCUUAUCCAUUUUCUUCUAACACUUGUCAAGAAGGGUAAUUUUGUCCUUUUAAGAUUUAUAAACAAAAUAUAAAUAAAAUUAGUGCAGGUGUUCAAGUAAAUUUGACAACAUUUAAAUUAUAAAAGACAAAAGUUAGGGUACGACAGUUGCAACAUAGCCGAGUCCAUUUUUAAUAUUAAAAAGUAAAGCUGCUUUUAAAUAGAGAACUGAUAUUCCCUCCCCAGAUUCUUCAUCAUCUGACUAAAGCCAAAAAGAACUGAUACUAACAAAUCACCAUUUGGGAUUUCCACUUUUUCAUUAUCCAUUUUAGUACAACUUAAAUCAAGGGGGGAAAAGGAAUAAAACAAGCAGAUGAUUACACAUGCACACUGAUUUCCAUUUUGUCACCAUUUCUUGCCGAUGUUGCCGUAAUUCUUUUUUUUUUUUGGUUUAUCUCAAACUUUGUAAUUUUAUUAAUAUUGAGGGCAUAAAAAACAACGAGUUCAUGAUCCAUCUGAUUUUAGUAAAUCAAUCAGGUGAGCUUUGCUAUUAACUUUCCUUCACCGGCAACUAUAGAGAAGUGCUGGAGCAGGAUCUCCAGACUCCAGUCAGGCAUCAACAUCCAUCAAAAACUCACAAAACUUUCUCUCUUAAUCGCCUUUACAGACUCUUCGUUUCUCAUUUUUCUCGCUUUCUUCUUCUUCGAAAGCAGCGAGCCCUUCCAAUCCCUUCUUUUGUGGCUCUCCUUUUCCCUCUUCAUUCGCCCCUUCGCCAUCGCUCAACUCACCUGCGGUCACACUGCGUCGGUCACAGCCCAAUCAUUGAAACCCCUCAUAUCCAGAUCCAAAGAUUAAAAGGAAGCCUUAGAAGUCGCAAAAGAACCGAUCUUUAAACCCCCCACAGUUCGGUUCUGAUCGUUAAAAACUCAAAUGUGUCAAUUCGAAUUGAGUAAAAAGAGAAGAAAUUUGAAGUCUUGGAGGAAUGAAAUGGAGAGGAUAUUCAGAUUCUGAAAAGCAGUGAUGAAGAAACCGAUGGGGAAGAUCAGUUCUCUCUCUAAAAAUUUAUUAGGCAACUUUUUUUUUUAAUAUUAAAAAUUAUAAAAAUCUGCAUGUAGACCCUUAUGUUGGAAUCAAUAUUUGAAAUUAAAAUAUAAGUUGCCGUUGGAUUUGAUCCGACGGCUACAAAUUGUCUCCCGGAUCUUGGAUUGGAAAACUACUCAUGCUGUAAAAAUGAUUUAGCUCAUGUGAUUAAUAAAUAUAUACGAUCAUAAUUAAUUUCCAGCUUCUGGGGAAGUUAAAAAAUCCUUAUUUUUCCAUUUGUGUUUUAUGCAUGGUUUUUUACAAUUUUAUAUUUAAGUUUAAUAAAUUGAAUAGUACGUGCGUAUCAUUUCAUUUUGUUUAUGUUUAUGUCUCCAUCUUUAAUUUUAAGGACGCUAUAUAUAUUAACUCAUAUUUCCAACAGCCGUACUUUAAUAGGAACAAGAAGACAUGAUUUCUAUUAGAUCAUAUUCGACAGAUUUCUAAAAUUAUACCAAUAUAAAUUCAUUAUUAGUUAGAUGAGAAAUAAGAAAUUUAAUUACAACAAAUGAUUUACAACGAUGACCCAAGUAAACACUCAGUCAAGUCAAUGGAUAAAUUAACUCGCGUCACUGUUUCGUCACUAUUAUUUUUUCGGCUCAAUUAUGAUUACACUUGGAAUCUGUAAGCUGCAGCAUCAGCCGUUGGAUGUGGAGUGAGAAACUAAACAAUAGAAAAUGGGAUGGUGCGAGAUGUUUGACAGAUAAAGCCUCUGUAAUUAGUAUUUUUUUCGGCUCAAUUAUGAUUAUUACAGUUGGAAUCUCGGAGCCAGCAAAAAAUUAUCCGUUGAUGACAACCGAUUGCAACUUAUAGACAGAUACCAAAAAUAUAAUUAGUAUUCAAUGUCCUUUGUGAAGUUCUACACGUAAUUUAGCCGGUGGGGUUUUUCGAAAUUAUUGAUUAUUCUUUCCUUUGAAAUUAAUAUAAAAAAACAGCUCCAUAAUUUUUCUGUGUAAUUUAAAACUAUUGCAUGACGUUUUCUAUUCGGCCAUCCAUUAUUUAAUUGAUAACGGCCCAGCAUGCAUAUGGCUAGAAAUUCGCUUCUUCUAUUCUAAUUAAAUUUCAUGUAAACUUUUCUCAGUUCUCAGUGUUUGCCGAUAUAUUGAAGACCAUAAUAAUAAUAAUUAUUAUUAUUAUUAUGAUGAUGAUGAUGUAUUACAUCCCAAAUUGCCUUCGUUAUAAUAUUUGGCCCUAAAACUAAUAAAAAUAAAGAGUUGUACUAUUGCAUAAUUGUAAAUCUAUGACAAAUGAAAAUUAUUUAUUGGUAAUAGUUGCAUAACCCAAAUAAUAAUUAUUUUAAUGGUAUCAAAAUCUAGUUCAAAUGGCACUAAAGUACGGCGGUGAAAUUUUUUUAUUUUAAUUAUAAAAAUUUAAAUUAUUAAUUAAAUAUAAAUAAUAAUAAAAUAUAAAUGAAUCUUAGAUUAUUCCUAGUUUCCUACAAUUUUGGUGGGUCCCGACAUUAGGCGGAAGUGUACAUUGCCAUAAGAAGUCAAGAACGACUUUGGUGGGUCCCGACAUUAUUCCUACAUUUUAAGUCUUCGGCUCAUUUAUUUCCCAUUUUCUUUAUCUUUUUCAUAAACAUAUUUUCUAACCAUUGGUUUUUAUUUCUUAAAUACGACGGUUUGACUCCAGAAGCAUUGACUUUCAGUUCAAUGCCGUUAAAGAUGGAUCAUUAGUCACGGUAUUAGCAUCUAUAGAGUUUGUUAGAGAGAGAUCUAAACCAAUACACAAAUGGGUGUACUUUCAGGUCAGUGCCCUCCAAUAUGGAUUAUCAGUCAUGGUGUUUAAUUAUAUUUAUUUAAUUUGUUAGAGAGAGCUCUACGCCUAUAGAGUAUAACAAAUGGAUGUACUUUCGUUUUCGUUCGUCUGUUGUAAGUUACUGUUUUUUUUGUCUAAAUCCUCUUUCACUUCCGACACCAUUACUUCAUUUCAGUCCCUCAGCGAUGGCAGGACCUUAGUUUCGAAAGAAGGAAGCUUUGAGCUUGGUUUCUUCAGUCCUGGUAGUUCCAAGAAUCGUUACGUAGGGAUUUGGUACAAAAAUAUGCCAGUUAAAACUGUUGUUUGGGUUGCAAAUCGAAUCAACCACAUUAAUGACUCUUCUGGCUUGUUAGUUGUAAACAAGACGGGCAAUCUUGUUUUAACAAGCCAGAACAAGAGUGUAGUUUGGUCAGCAAACUUGAGCAAAGAAGUCCGGACUCCAGUUGUAUUGCAGCUACUAGAUUCAGGAAAUCUUGUCCUCAGAGGUGAACGAGAUGGCGGUUCUGAAACUUAUUUAUGGCAAAGCUUUGAUUAUCCUUCUGAUAAUUUGCUACCAGGAUGAAGCUCGGAUGGGAUUUCAAGGCUGGUCUUGAGCGGCGUAUAACAUCAUGGAAGAGCUCAGACGACCCGUCUCCCGGAAACUUUAUUUGGAAAACUGAACGACAAGAUAACCCUGAGUUAGUCAUGUGGAAGGGAUCAAGAAAGUUUUAUAGGACUGGCCCCUGGAAUGGCCUUAUAUUCAGUGCUUCAUCACUCAGGCUUAACCCAAUUUUUAAGUAUCGCUUUGUCUUCAAUGAGGAUGAGCUGUACUACACAUUCUACCUCACAGAUAAAGAUGUUAUCUCAAGGACUGUUAUGAACCAAACACUCUAUUUACGUCAACGAUUCAUAUGGAAUAAAGCAACUAAAAGUUGGGAGUUGAAUGCAAAUGUGCCAAGAGAUCUAUGUGACACUUACGCCCUUUGUGGCGCCUAUGGCAUUUGCAUCAUUAGCAAAUCGCCUGUUUGCCAAUGUUUAAAAGGUUUCAAACCUAAAUCAGAGGUUUAUGUGGAACGGUCUCAAGGGUGCGUACGUACUAAGCCGUUAAACUACUCUCGACGUGAUGGUUUUGUCAAAUUUAAUGAUCUGAAAUUGCCAGAUUCUACUUCCUCUUGGGUUAGCAAAAGUAUGAAUCUCAAUGAAUGCCGGGAGAAAUUCUUAGACAACUCUUCUUGGAUGGCAUACGCAAAUUCAGAUAUCAGAGGAGAAGGCAGUGGCUGUGCCAUGUGGUUUGGCGAUCUGAUUGACAUGCGAAGCGUUCCAGAUGCUGGGCAGGACUUCUAUAUUCGAAUGUCUGCUUCAGAGCUAGGUAUCCGUUUACUUGUUUAAGUUACUCCAUUAUGAGAACUUAGGAGUGCCACUCCAGUUAGAUUAGUUCCAUAUUUUUAUUGUGUAAUUUAGUAAUGAGUUCAGAUUGAGAUGCUCCUUUCACAAAAAGCAGUUUCUGGGUAUGGCUUCUGUGCAUAGAAUUCUGCUGCUAUUUGAAUCAUUUUUUCUUAGCUAUAUGAUUAUUGACUUGCUUUGCUAUAUCUGAAUAUGCUGAUCAAGGAGCGAAAGGUGAGCCUAGGACGAAGAUAGUGGUGAUAGUCAUUUCUACUGCUGCUCUGUUAGCUGUGGUGCUUAUAGCUGGCUACUUGGUUCACAAAAGGAGAAAUAUAGUGGGUAUAAUAUUGCUCCAUUUUCCUUCACAAAUUUUCGUUGACGAUUUGAUGCAGGAAAAUCAAACUCUUAUAAAUAUUAAAUUUACAACAGUCGAUUAAGUUUUUAUAUGCAACAAUAAUUGUAUGUUUGUUUCAAGAUGAAGAGUUAACAGUGCAUAUCAUUUAGAUCAGGGGCAAGGUAAUUAAACUUGUAAAUUUUUCACCUAUGGUUCUUUAUUUACUUGCACUUUCAUAUUGACUGGAAUAUAGCUUUAAUACAAAUUUACAGAAAAAGAACCUUCUCAUCAAGAACAUGAAAAUUGUAUACGUACUGCAUAUGUGCUUUCAGUUAAUAAUAUCCAAUAUUUCAGAGAAAACAGAAAACAACAGGGAAACUGAUCAGGUUCAAAACAUGGACCUGGAGCUACCACUGUUUGAGUUAGCUACAAUUGCUAAUGCCACCGAUAACUUUUCAAUCAACAACAAGCUUGGAGAAGGUGGCUUUGGACCUGUUUACAAGGUAAACUUGAAACUUGCCAGUCAAAAAUAAUUAUUUUACCGGGUAACUAAAUUCACAUAUAUGUCUGGGCAGGGCACGCUAGUGGAUGGGCAGGAAAUUGCUGUGAAGAGGCUUUCGAAGAUUUCAUAGCAAGGAUUGAAGGAGUUAAAGAAUGAAGUUAUACUAUUUUCCAAAUUACAGCACAUAAAUCUUGUAAAGCUUCUUGGCUGCUGCAUUCAGGGAGAGGAGAAACUGUUGAUUUAUGAAUUCGUGCCGAACAAAAGCCUGGACUCUUUCAUUUUUGGUCUGGGUCCCUAUAACCUUAAAAUAUUCGGCUAGCUUGUGCCUUGAUUAUAGACGUUUCUUAUGUAUUUUCAGAAAAUUUUGUACUAACCUUAAUGUGGUAAUUUGUAGAUCAAGAAAGAUGUAAGAUAUUGGAUUGGUCCAAGCGUUUCCACAUUAUUUGUGGGACUGCUAGGGGUGUUAUGUACCUUCAUCAAGAUUCUAGAUUGAGGAUUAUACAUCGAGAUCUCAAAGCAAGUAAUGUGCUACUCGAUCAAGAUAUGAACCCAAAAAUUUCGGAUUUUGGUUUGGCAAGAGCUUUUGGUGGAGACGAGACAGAAGGAAAUACAAACUGCGUAGUUGGAACAUAGUAAGUAUUUUUUUGUCAUGUGAUCUUUACGAUUCACUUACAUUGAUUAAUGAAAAUUAACUUAUAUAUUUAAUCUUUUGAAGCGGUUAUAUGGCACCGGAAUAUGCUAGUGAUUGGCAAUUCUCAGUAAAAUCCGAUGUCUUCAGCUUUGGAAUUUUAUUGCUGGAGAUAAUAAGUGGAAAGAAAAAUAGAGGAUUUUAUCAUUCCGACAACAAGCUUAACCUUAUAGGACAUGUAAGUAAAAUGCAUAUGACAUUUUCUAACAUAGUUUGAACUAAUAAACUAUAGAUGAUAAAAGAGUUUUAAUAUGUUGUAGGCAUGGAAGUUGUGGAACGAAGGCAUGCCUUCACAAUUAAUCGAUCCAUGUAUUCAAGACUCAUUCAAUCUUGCUGAAGUGAUACGAUGCAUCCACAUCGGUUUGUUAUGCGUGCAACAGCAUCCAAAGGACAGGCCAAGCAUGCCCUCAGUGAUUUUGAUGUUGGGCAGCGAGACUGUGUUGCCUCAGCCAAAGCAACCCGGUUACUUGGCGCACAGGAAAUCUACCGGACAAGAUUAUUCAUCAAGCACGCCUGAAUCAUGUUCAACUAAUACAAUUACGAUCUCUGAGUUGGAGGGUCGGUAGAGAAUCUAUUUGUGGUAUCAUGCCUUGUUCUACAUUGUCAAGUGCAAAAGCAGUAAUAUGUCAACCAAAUGGAAAGUUAAGAUAAAUGAUUGGAUAAAAAAUGAUGAGGAUCAUCCAGUGAAUGCAUGUUGUGGAUCUAAAAGUUCAGAGGACAUGCCAAUUUUGCAGCUGACUACUUGGCUAAAAAUGCAGGCUCUAUACCUCUCGGAUUUCAUGUUUAUCAAGAACCUCCUGUAGGUCAUGAUCCUUGGCUUUGUUAUGAUAUGUAUGGGACAAUGAUUCCCCGCUCGGUUGUGUCUUAGCUUGGCUAAGCCUUUUUUUGGUUAAAAAAAAAAAUAGAAUGUAGACUGAUGUUCAUAUAGAAAUUGUAAAUUAGAGGUACUGUGAGCAGUGUUGGGUUCAAAAAAUGAUUAACCGAGAAUUAAAUUAAAUAAAAGCAAGACGUUAUAAUUUUUUUGAUGUAAAAUAUUUACUAAUACAUUUAUGAGAAUAUCUUUGGUGCUUUUGGAGCAUUUUUAUCUAUUCACAAUUUAUCACUUGUGUAUAUAUGUCAUCAUGAUUAGUAGAAGCAUACACAUGACAAAGAGUAAAUGAAAAAGGAGAAGCUCUCCAAGAGUACCCAAGAUUUUUCCUACAUUUUAAAAACCAUGUGUAAUAUUCUCAUUAUCAAUACUAUUAAGUACGUCCUUUUCUACAUAAACAACAAAAUUAAUAUUGAUCCAUUCAUCUCUCAUUCAAUUUCAGCGUUAAUUCUUCAUGAACUUAAUUGCUGAAAACGUUCUCUCUACGGUGGUUGUGGGAACCGGAAGAAUUAUAACUAAGUGUCACCAACGAAUAUAUUAAUACUGUAAUGGAUACUCUUUAUCUUUUUUAGUCUCAAACUAUUCUUUUAGCAACGUAUUGAUUCCCUUCACUCCUGCAAACCCGUCUAAUUGUUCUUUCCUAAUUUAACACAAGCCCUUAUUUUCUUUUGAGAACAAGAAAGAUAAAAUUUGUGAUUGGAGGGGUGGCUAAUUAUUGUUUUUAAUAAAUUUGAAUCUAUUUUUUGAAAUAGAAGAAUGUUUUGGGUUGUGAGUUAUUAUUAUUUUUAAAUAAAGCGUGAGUUUAAAAGUUCAAGUUAAAAUUUAAAAUUUGUAGGUUUAUGAAUGUAUGGAUGCUAUUUUAAUAGAUUGAUGAAGGUUAAUUAGAAACCCAAAUAUUUUUUUCUUUUUUUUCUAUUUUUUGUCUUUCACAUGCUAAAUCCACCACUCAUACCGAUAAGAAUUGUGAUGAUUUAUUUUUAUCCUAAUGAUCAUAAUAAAAAUCUUUUAAAAAUUUUACUAUUUUAUCAAAAUUAUUAUUUAAAAAUUAUAUUUACCCCAACUUUUUUUAACUACAAUUAUUUUUUCACCAGGACUGUAACUUUUAAUAUAACUUAGGUUAUCAAAAUUUUGAGCUUCAUUCAACCAACCAUAACUAUCAUGAUCAAAGUCUACGUUGCUCAAGUCAAGAAAGACUUUAAUGGGAGAGAGAGAAUUAUUAUUAUCGACAUUACAAAUGGACCCCAAUUAUAUCUAAAGUCUUUGGGCUCCUGUCUCGUUUUCUUCUUCUUUUUCAAAACCCUAUUUACUAACCAUUAAUUUGGUUGGUUGAUGAAUCCGGCGGUUUCUGAUUUUCUUAUUUAUUUUUAUGCCAGUGACCCCGUAACGAUAGCAUUGCAAUCUCAUGAAAAAUGGACACCCGUCAACAAAAAUCUUUUUGUUAAGUAAUCUACUGAUUAUAAUAACCCAUGACCAAAAAUAUUGGACAUGUCUUCCUUUUUUUUAGUAAUUAUACACUCACAUCACACUUUUACGAUUAACUGACUAAACAUGUAUGAUAAACGAUUUUAUAAUAGAUUGUCUCACAAUCUAAAUUUACCAAAUAUCUUCAGAAAUUAUUUGUGAAGUUGAUUACUUCAAAAGUCAAGUUUGAAUAUUAAUUAAUUGUGAGAAUAUUCGAAUUAAAUCCAUAAAAUUCUUUUAAAAUUUUCUUUAAAGCUUAUAACAUACUUUUCAAAAAGUCUGUCGAGUACUAAUUCAGAAAUUUAUUUCAAUAUAUAUUAAGAAAAUUUAUUUGGUUAAGAGAAAUGAGCCCCUUUUGAGUUGGUGAAGCCUGAGCUCAUCAUUAGGCAAGCCAUCAAAUUAUUCAAUAAACACAUUUGUCCCACACAUCCAUAAUUAAUUAAAAGGAUGGAAUUAUUUGAACUUAUGCAAUUUCUCAUAACAUCCAUUUAUUUAAUAUAUCCCCUAUCAAGAUCUUAAAAUUAAAUUUUAACUCUAUAAACCGCUUAAUACCCCACAAAUAACCGAUUUAUGGUGGGUGCAAUAAUUUAGAUAAUUAAAUUAUUUAUUGUUUUUGGUAAUUUUUAUUUAAGAUUAUUUUUGUAAUAUAAAUUUUUAUUUAAAAAUAAGUCUAAGGUGCAUUUUUAUGGGGCCCAAAUGACAUUAAAAUUAGAAGAAUUAAAUUUUACCAUAUAAAAGUAAAACCUCUUGAAAUUCCUAAAGUAUCCUUGAUUAGAUUUCUUUUUAAUUUUAAUAUUUUCUCUCUGCCAUAGAAGUUGCUAUGUCCUUUCUUGGUAAGAUGCUCUGUUCAGGCUUCAAUGUUGUUAGCUUGAAUUGGCAAUUGAACUCGAAUCAAUUCUCAUGCAUGGGUUGGGGAAUUUGCUCAACUUAUAAUUGGUAGGUUUAUGCCUCUGACCAAACUCAUUUCGCCUCUCCAAGAAUCUGCAAAAUUAAUUGGUAUUAUCAUGUCGGUGCUGCUUAUAAUUAGUAGUGCCCGCAUUGCUCUGAAUUCAGGCAUUGCUUGAGUAGAGUUGGGCUUUGCUGAUUCAUUUUAGUGACACUUAAAAACACUUAAAAAAAUCAGGACUUGUUUGUCGAAAUUUACAAAUAUUUUGUUCUUUAAUUAAUUUUUAUUAUAUCAAACAAUAGGACUGCAGUGUAGUUAAACCAGUUGCUUACACCUGGGAAACAUAGUUUUGUGUUCUUAUUUUUUUUUAUUGUUUGUGAGAUGGCAAGUGAUAUAUAUGUCUUUUUAAAAUUUUCAAUUAUUGGGGCAACGAACAUGGUAAAUAAUUUGCGGUGGAAAAGGUACCAAUAUUGACUCAAUAUGUCAAAUUUCUAGAAAAUUUUAGCAUCAAAUGCCUUUUUUCCAUUGUUGUGAGUAUAAGUCAAAUUUCUUGCAAAUUUUCUAUGGGUGUGACGAUUUUUUUUUGGAGUGCAAACGGCCCACCCUUCACCUAUUCAUAGAGAAUUUUACAAUAUUAAAUAGAGAAUUUUGAGUCCAGAAGCAAUCGCUUUCAGGUCAGUGCCCUCCAAGAUGGAUUAUCAGUCAUGGUGUUUAAUUAUAUUUAUUUAAUUUGUUAGAGAGAGCUCUACGCCUAUAGAGUAUAACAAAUGGAUGUACUUUCGUUUUCGUUCAUCUGUUGUAAGCUACUGUUUUUCUUGUCUGAAUCCUCUUUUGCUUCCGACACCAUUACUUCAUCUCAGUCCCUCAGCGAUGGCAGGACCUUAGUUUCAAAAGAUGGAAGCUUUGAGCUUGGUUUCUUCAGUCCUGGUAGUUCCAAGAAUCGUUACGUGGGAAUUUGGUACAAAAAUAUGCCAGUUAAAACUGUUGUUUGGGUUGCAAACCGAAUCAACCCCAUUAAUGACUCUUCUGGGUUGUUAGUUGUAAACGAGACGGGCAAUCUUGUUUUAACCAGCCAGAACAAGAGUGUAGUUUGGUCAGCAAACUUGAGCAAAGAAGUCCGGACUCCAGUUAUAUUCCAGCUACUAGAUUCAGGAAAUCUUGUCCUCAGAGGGGAACGAGAUGGCGAUUCUGAAACUUAUUUAUGGCAAAGCUUUGAUUAUCCUUCUGAUACAUUGCUACCGGGAAUGAAGCUCGGAUGGGAUUUGAAGACUGGUCUUGAGCGGCGUAUAACAUCAUGGAAGAGCUCAGACGACCCGUCUCCUGGAGACUUUACUUGGGCACUUGAACGACAAGAUAACCCUGAGUCAAUCUUCUGGAAGGGAUCAAGAAAGUUAACUAGGAGUGGCCCAUGGAAUGGCCUUAGAUUCAGUGCUUCAUCAUUAAGGCAAAACCCCGUUUUUAACUUCAGCUUUGUCUCAAAUGAGGAUGAGCUGUACUACACCUUCGACUUGAUAGAUAAAGCUGUUUUCUCAAGGAUGGUUAUGAACCAAACACUCUACUUACGUCAACGAUUCAUAUGGAAUAAAGCAACUAAAAGUUGGGACUUGAAUUCAAAUGUGCCGAGAGAUCUAUGUGACACUUAUGCCCUUUGUGGUGCCUAUGGCAUUUGCAUCAUUAGCGAUAUGCCUGUUUGCCAAUGUUUAAAAGGCUUUAAACCAAAGUCAAGGGGAUAUGUGGACUGGUCUCAAGGGUGUGUGCGUGAUAAGUCGUUAAACUACUCUAGACAAGAUGGCUUCAUCAAAUUCACUGCGAUGAAAUUGCCAGAUGCUACUCUUUCUUGGGUGAGCAAAAGUAUGAAUCUCAAUGAAUGCCGGGAGAAAUGCUUAGACAACUCUUCUUGUAUGGCAUACACAAAUUCAGAUAUCAGAGGAGAAGGCAGUGGCUGUGCCAUGUGGUUUGGUGAACUGAUUGACAUGAGAGACUUUCCAGAUGGUGGGCAGGACUUGUAUAUUCGAAUGUCUGCUUCGGAGAUAGGUACCCGCAAACUUGUUUAUGUCACUCCAUUAUGAGAACUUAGGAGUACCACUCCAGUUAGACUAGUUGCACAUUUUUAUUGUGCAAUUUAGUAUUGAGUUCUGAUUGAGAAGCUCCUUUCGCAUAAAGCAGUUUCUGGGUAUAGCUUCUAUGCAUAGAAUUUUGCUGCUAUUUGAAUCAUUUGAUUAUUGACUUGCUUUGCUAUAUCUGAAUACGGCGAUCAAGGAGCGAAAGGUGAGCCUAGGACGAAGAUAGUGGUGAUAGUCAUUUCUACUGCUGCUCUGUCAGCUGUGGUGAUUGCAGGUGGCUACUUGGUUCACAAAAGAAGGAGAAAUAUAGUAGGUAUAAUAUUGCUCCAUUUUCCUUCACAAAUUCUCGCUAACGAUUUGAUGCAGGCAAAUCAAACUCUUAUAAAUAUUAAAUUUAUAAGAGUAGAUUAAAUUUUUAUAUGCAGCAAUAACUGUAUAUUUGUUUCAAGAUGAAGAGUUAUCAGUGCAUAUCAUUUAGAUCAGGGGCAAGGUAAUUAAAGUUGUAAAUUUUUCGUUUUGAUAGCAUGCUUACUUAUUUGCAUUUAGUGUUAUAUUAAUACACGCCUCUUUUUCACCUAUGGUUCUUUAUUUACUUGCACUUUCAUACUGACUGGAAAAUAUCUUUAAUACAAAUUUACAGAUAAAGAACUUCUCAUCCAGAACAUGAAAAUUGUAGUUACUAGUUAGGAGUUUAAUAUUGUCCAGUAUACGCAUAUGUGCUUUCAGUUAAUAUUAUCCAAUAUUUCAGAGAAAACAGAAAACAACAGGGAAACUGAUCAGGUUCAAAACAUGGACCUGGAGCUACCACUGUUUGAGUUAGCUACAAUUGCUAAUGCCACCAAUAACUUUUCAAUCAACAACAAGCUUGGAGAAGGUGGCUUUGGACCUGUUUACAAGGUAAACUUGAAACUUGCCAGUCAAAAAUAAUUAUUUUACCGGGUAACUAAAUUCACAUAUAUGUCUGGGCAGGGCACGCUAGUGGAUGGGCAGGAAAUUGCUGUGAAGAGGCUUUCGAAGAUUUCUGAGCAAGGAUUGAAGGAGUUAAAGAAUGAAGUUAUACUAUUUUCCAAAUUACAGCAUAGAAAUCUUGUAAAGCUUCUUGGCUGCUGCAUUCAGGGAGAGGAGAAACUGUUGAUUUAUGAAUUCGUGCCGAACAAAAGCCUGGACUCUUUCAUUUUUGGUCUGGGUCCCUAUAACCUUAAAAUAUUCAGCUAGCUUGUGCCUUGAUUAUAGACGUUUCUUAUGUAUUUUCAGAAAAUUUUGUACUAACCUUAAUGUGGUAAUUUGUAGAUCAAGAAAGAUGUAAGAUAUUGGAUUGGUCCAAGCGUUUCCACAUUAUUUGUGGGACUGCUAGGGGCCUUCUGUACCUUCAUCAAGAUUCUAGAUUGAGGAUUAUACAUCGAGAUCUCAAAGCAAGUAAUGUGCUACUCGAUCAAGAUAUGAACCCAAAAAUUUCAGAUUUUGGUUUGGCAAGAGCUUUUGGUGGAGACGAAACAGAAGGAAAUACAAACAGAGU